CUUCCAUGGUGGGAAGAAGGUCACAGGGUCAGGGGCGCAGAUACUCUUAAAUACCAGUUAGUGAAAACGGCACAUCAGUGUGAAAAGGCUUACUCCUUGGAAAACUGCUCCCGAGGAUUAUCUGCUAUGUGCCAAGAGAUGCCCUACUUAUUAGAUUGUGUCUGAAAAAUGAAGCCAGGUGUCUCGUCAUUUGCAAGUCAGAUAUCUUUAAGCUAGGAUGCCUCUCUGUGUCCCCUCCUGCAGUUAUCUGCCUAAAAGCAGCUCAACCAUGUGACACUGCCUUGAAAAUCCUUCUUGUUUUCACCCUGCAGGCAGAGCCGACAGCCCGCGGAGCAGGAAGCCUGAUUCCCAACCAGGCUCAUUGCUGUGUGUCUGUAAUUAAGGCCCUUGACAUCUCUGAACCUCAUUCUGCAGUUUCAGACAUCCAGGCCAGGCACCGGGCCUUCCCUCCUUCACAAGGCAGAGGGUACAAUGAGCUCACAUCCAGCGGCAUGCCCAGGGACUGGCAGAGAGCCAGCAUCCUACAAAUCCACAGGUAAAGACGGUUCCUGUUUCCACAACAGAGUCUCCACGCUGCCUCCCACUUUCAAACCAGAAACUCUCGAGUAGACAGAGAUGCCUUGUGAUCCAAUGAAGCCUGGCCCUGCCCAAAGAUCACCACUCUGCCCAUCCUAGGGGAUCCAGAAAUGCUUCUGAAUUUGUCCUCUGAGGACCUGGACCACGUCAAGAUUUGGAUGUUCAUUGGGAAGCUGUACUAGUCUGUUCUCACGUUGCUAAUAAAGACAUA
rnacentral:lncRNA from 1 species